ACGUACCUUAAACUGCUGCAAAAGAGGCGUUUCUCGUGGUGUCUUGUGGGAGUGGCGGUGCGAUCCCUCUCAGACUUGUGAGUCCCUGCUGGAGUCAGAAGUUUUAGGCGAAUCCCAGGCGCGCCAAGGAAAGUGCUACAAAAGCCAUCCAUCUUGCAAGCGUUGGUGCCGAGGCGCAACGCUGAGAACGCAAAUACUAAAGGGCGCUGUUCUUUCCUCGUGGAGCUCACAGUCCGCUGGGGAGACCGUGAGAUGACAGCAGAGAAACUAGCGCGAUCAGUAGUACUCAGCGCAAGGACAGCGAGCAGAGAAGGCAAACCUAGUGCUUGCUAAGGAAGACUUCACAGAGGAGGUAGUGUCAGGGCCGAGACUAGGAGAAGGAUUCUCCAGGCUUCAUACGGUAAAACUCUCUGGGAAGGAAAGGAACUCAGAGUCCCAUGCAGAAAAUUGUUCAGCUGGAGGGGUAUCAGAAAGAUGGAUUUCCAAAGCCAACUGUUUCCUGUAGUGUGUGGAUCUCUGCAAGCAGAGCCUCAUCUUUCAAUUUCAGCUACAUGAAAGAGGAAGAAAGGGAAAGAUAUAUGUCAUACGUGAUAUACUUUAUGUGGCUUUGAAGACCCCUCUUUUGUGGGGCUACGGCUAAAGAACAUAGUUCCCUGGGAUGGAAUUGGCUCUUCCUAUUUCCCUACUUCAUGAAAACUCCAGUAGAAGACCUUAGAACCUUGUCCUGGUUACAUGGAUAUGUUUACUUUGUGAAAAUUCAUCAAGCACUAUGCACGGUCAUGAUUUGUACAUUUUUUUGUAAGAUAACUUCAUUAAAAUUUACUUUUUUUAUUUU
rnacentral:lncRNA from 1 species